GACAACGAUGGUGCUUCGGUCGUCGCCAUCUAUGGCGGGAGGCUGAACCCACAAAGAA
rnacentral:rRNA from 1 species